GGGCUCUUUUUGGCAGCACACACACUAAAAUUAAACCCAUAUGGAAAAGAUCAGCAUGGCCCCUGGGCAAGUGUGACAGGCAGAUUUGUGAAGCGCUCCAUUUUUUU
ensembl:snRNA U6 U6 spliceosomal RNA